AAUAAAAUGCCUGAAAAAGGACUAUUUUGAUAAAAUAGAUCAUGUAAAUCUUUACUUUUAUUA
rnacentral:tRNA from 1 species